rnacentral:rRNA from 1 species
AUUGAACGCUGGCGGCAGGCCUAACACAUGCAAGUCGAACGGUAGCACAGAGAGCUUGCUCUCGGGUGACGAGUGGUGGACGGGUGAGUAAUGUCUGGGAAACUGCCCGAUGGAGGGGGAUAACUACUGGAAACGGUAGCUAAUACCGCAUAACGUCGCAAGACCAAAGUGGGGGACCUUCGGGCCUCACACCAUCGGAUGUGCCCAGAUGGGAUUAGCUAGUAGGUGGGGUAAUGGCUCACCUAGGCGACGAUCCCUAGCUGGUCUGAGAGGAGGACCAGCGACACUGGAACUGAGAGACGGGCCAGACUCCUACGGGAGGCAGCAGUGGGGAAUAUUGCACAAUGGGCGCAAGCCUGAUGCAGCCAUGCCGCGUGUAUGAAGAAGGCCUUCGGGUUGUAAAGUACUUUCAGCGGGGAGGAAGGCGGUGAAGUUAAUAGCUUCACCGAUUGACGUUACCCGCAGAAGAAGCACCGGCUAACUCCGUGCCAGCCGCCGCAGUAAUAC